AAGAGGAAUAUGGGACUAUACCCAUCGCUUUAUCUUCUACAGAGGGUAUUAUUUUGAAUUCUUUGUUAAUUCCAAUGCAAGGAUUGAAAGAAGUCGUGCAGCUGGAGGCAAGUGUGGAGGAGGAAGAGAAAGACCUCCAGCUGGAUACAGCUAUCUAAGUUUGGAUUGUAUCAAACGAUGUGCAAUACGCUAUUCAUCCAAAUUCGGAAAGUACGAUAAUGUUAUAAAUAACUGUCACAGCUUUGCUAAUAAAAUGUCUGAAGUUUUAUGUAGAAGGGGCAGCACGUGCCCGUCGUGGUGCUACUGAUGCAUACCAAUCU